UCUCCAUGACCCGCAUUCAUUUCUGUUCGCCGCCAUAUUGUUGAAUUAAGUCCUUCUGCUCUAUGCUUUUAAUUUUAAACAUUUGACACUAAUUUUCAUCCCAUUGGUGUUUCAAUUGGUAAGGAAUGGUUUGAAUAACAAUAAGUGAACUGUUGAGCUUACAUUUAUCCGCAUUAACAUUCAUUUAGCGGUACCGCUAAGUUUUAUUAUCGAAGCAGGCGGUUGGUGCGAUGCGUUCAGUGUCCUCGUCAUUAGCGGAAAUUACUCGUUACCGGAGAUUUUUGCGCUACAAAUAAGGAAAUAUACAUAGUCAAUAGACUGUUUGCGCCUCGAACUGGACCGUCCAAACGGAUCAACGGUUCCGAUUGCUGCUAUCAGUUUCGAGAAGGAGCACAACAACAAGGUGAGGGAUGUAGAGACCUGAUGGGAGAGUCACUGAACAACAACAAAAACUGAUUUCGUCACAUCUUUUGACUGAAACGAAGUGGACCUAAACUUACUCGGUGAAGCCGGCCGGUCAGGUGAAGACGGGCAGCGCUGGGUCUGAGGUGUGUUUCUGGAUCUCGGCGGGUUCUGAGGUCAGGUCCAGGUUCACCGGCAAAGACGGGAAGCGGACCGUCCCACACAGGCUCA